rnacentral:ncRNA from 1 species
GCCAACACGCUGAGAAGAAGAGUAGGCCGGAAGAAGCUGUCCAGAGAGAGAGGCGUCAGGUGGAAGCCUCUUACAGAAGAACCGUCUGAAGACCAUCUUUGAGUGUCCCUUAAUCGGGAACGGUGAUUCCGUUAUCAUCACAAUGAGAGGCGCAGAGCCUUAUUGCCUGCGCAACCAGGGUGGAACCGCGAGUAAAGUCGUCCCUUGU